rnacentral:rRNA from 1 species
CAGAGGUCCCGAGCGUUGUUCGGAUUCACUGGGCGUAAAGGGUGCGUAGGCGGUCGGGUAAGUCUGAUGUGAAAUCUCACAGCUUAACUGUGAAACUGCAUUGGAUACUAUUCGGCUUGAGAGUUGGAGGGGGGACUGGAAUUCUUGGUGUAGCAGUGAAAUGCGUAGAUAUCAAGAGGAACACCAGUGGCGAAGGCGAGUCCCUGGACAACUUCUGACGCUGAGGCACGAAAGCUAGGGGAGCAAACAGGAUUAGAUACCCUGGUAGUCCUAGCCGUAAACGGUGCUUAUUUGCUGUAAAAGGAAUCGACCCCUUUUGUGGCGUAGCAAACGCGUUAAAUAAGCCGCCUGGGAAGUACGGUCGCAAGAUUA